rnacentral:misc_RNA from 1 species
GAUGAAGAACGCAGCGAAAUGCGAUACGUAAUGUGAAUUGCAGAAUUCAGUGAAUCAUCGAAUCUUUGAACGCACAUUGCGCCCGCCAGUAUUCUGGCGGGCAUGCCUGUUCGAGCGUCAUUUCAACCAUCAAGCCCCCGGGCUUGUGUUGGGGACCUGCGGCUGCCGCAGGCCCUGAAAAGCAGUGGCGGGCUCGCUGUCACACCGAGCGUAGUAGCAUACAUCUCGCUCUGGGCGUGCUGCGGGUUCCGGCCGUUAAACCACCUUUUAACCCAAGGUUGACCUCGGAUCAGGUAGGAAGACCCGCUGAACUUAAGCAUAUCAAUAAGCGGAGGA